CAUGCACUGGUGGGGUCCCUCGGCCUGGCCUGUGCCCUCUCGCAAUCUGGGACCCCUCAGGGGAUGUCAGAGAGCCAGUUUCAGCCUGAUCCCGCAGGCCAGGCCGAGGGACCCCACUGGUGCACG
rnacentral:pre_miRNA from 1 species